UUAGAGUGAAGAUGUUGGAAUGGCUCAAUCAAGUUAAAGCAUCCAAGUGUUUUGGCUAAACUGGCUCCUUUUAAUUUGAUUGAGCCGUGCCAAUAUCAAUCAGCUCUUC
rnacentral:pre_miRNA from 1 species